AGCAGUAGCCACGGUAAAACGAAGGGUGCAAGCGUUACUCGGAAUUACUGGGCGUAAAGCGUGCGUAGGUGGUGGUUUAAGUCCGUUGUGAAAGCCCUGGGCUCAACCUGGGAAUUGCAGUGGAUACUGGGUCACUAGAGUGUGGUAGAGGAUAGUGGAAUUUCCGGUGUAGCAGUGAAAUGCGUAGAGAUCGGAAGGAACAUCUGUGGCGAAGGCGACUAUCUGGGCCAACACUGACACUGAGGCACGAAAGCGUGGGGAGCAAACAGGAUUAGAUACCCCCGUAGUCCCUGUCUCUUAUAC
rnacentral:rRNA from 1 species